UACAGAGGGUGCGAGCGUUAAUCGGAAUUACUGGGCGUAAAGCGUGCGUAGACGGUCAUGUAAGUCGGGUGUGAAAGCCCCGGGCUCAACCUGGGAAUUGCAUUCGAGACUGCACGGCUAGGGUGCGGAAGAGGGAAGCGGAAUUUCCGGUGUAGCGGUGAAAUGCGUAGAUAUCGGAAGGAACAUCAGUGGCGAAAGCGGCUUCCUGGUCCAGCACCGACGUUCAGGCACGAAAGCGUGGGGAGCAAACAGG
rnacentral:rRNA from 1 species